rnacentral:lncRNA from 1 species
GACAAGAGUGCACACACUGAAAUGUUUCACCUUCUUUACUUAUCAUUGAUAUUAUGCUGAUAGUCAUAAAUAUAAAGCUUUAUUACAACUGUCACAUAAACUUAACAUUAACCAAGAAAACUAAACAUUGACCAAUGAACCAUGAAAAUAAGGUCAAGGUCAGACGAACCAUGCCAGGCAGGUAUGUACAGCUAACAAUUCUUCCAUACAACAAAUAUAAUUAACCUAUUGCUUAUAGUUUAAGAAAAACAGACCAAAACACAAAAACUUAACACUGAGCAACGAACCGUGAAA